rnacentral:lncRNA from 1 species
UCUCCCGUUCGGACGCCCUAAGCCUCCGGACUUACCGUUGGCAUCCCAAACGCCUUUCCGGAGCCACAAAGACAGGAAGAGAGCGUCAGCAUCCGAAAGACCGGAAAUAAGCACUGGCCGGAAACCGUGGUGUUCCGCCCAAUGCCUUGUGGGAGUUGUAGUUCUUGGAGAAGCCCCACCUUUCCCUUUGUAGUGCCCGCCUGCCUGAGAGGCUGUGAGCGCUCCUAAGAGGAGAUCAAAGAAGCUUGGGGGGCUUCAGGGGAAGAAAAUCCCUCCUUUAACAAAUUUGCUGUAUCCUUGACAUCCAUCAACAGCUUCAUUGAUGACUUGGGCUACCAAGGGAGUCAGGAGCUGACCAGUGAAGAAGAUCCCAGCCUUGUUCAGACGAAGAGGCGGAAGCAGAACAAGGUUUGCAUUCUCCAGAUGAGGAAAAAUGAGGUGAAAGAGGAAGACAAGGAGGACAAGGAGGAUGAGGAAGAGGAGGAGGACCAGAGAGAGGGGCCCCCUACCUCUUUGCAAUCACCUAGGACAGGACAGAGGCAAUGCCCGUACUCAAGAAUCCGCCAAGUGAGGCACAAGGAGCACCUGAGCAUCUUGGAAAGUGGCUUGAGCUUAUCCACCAAUGAAACCAAGUUGUCUGUCCAUGUUUUUGCCAAUACUUAUGUAGCUGCUGCCACAGGAAGCAGAAGUCAGUGGAGGAAAACAAGGCAUCCGACUCUGGAGCAAGGAGGAGCCCGGGUGAGACUGACUCAGCUGUGAGCUUCACUAAUGGGUGAUGGUCCAGAUCUCCACGGGGCUCCAAGGAAAGCUCUGGGCAGAAGCCAGAAGAGCAGAGUGUAAUCCUUCCGCUUAGAAAUAAAGCACAUUUUAUUUUUG